rnacentral:sRNA from 1 species
CAUUUCCAUUUGCACCCCUGACCUGCCCUGUCUUCACCCUGUAGGACAUUGCCACUGUCUACCAGAUCUUCCCUGACGAAGUGCUGGGCUCAGGGCAGUUUGGAGUGGUCUAUGGAGGAAAACACCGGAAGACAGGCCGGGACGUGGCAGUUAAGGUCAUUGACAAACUGCGCUUCCCUACCAAGCAGGAGAGCCAGCUCCGGAAUGAAGUGGCCAUUCUGCAGAGCCUGCGGCAUCCCGGGAUCGUGAACCUGGAGUGCAUGUUCGAGACGCCUGAGAAAGUGUUUGUGGUGAUGGAGAAGCUGCAUGGGGACAUGUUGGAGAUGAUCCUGUCCAGUGAGAAGGGCCGGCUGCCUGAGCGCCUCACCAAGUUCCUCAUCACCCAGAUCCUGGUGGCUUUGAGACACCUUCACUUCAAGAACAUUGUCCACUGUGACUUGAAACCAGAAAAC